rnacentral:sRNA from 1 species
GUCAGAGAAGGAGUCACUGUGGAUGGGACAGGCAGCCCCAGGGGUUCAGGAGUGAUGCCCCUGCCUCUUAGAUAGGAGAUGGAGUGUCCACGUCAAAAACGUUGUAUAUAUUUUUACUCACUUUUCACAUUAAUGCGCCAAAAGUUAAGUUUUGGAAAAUAUGCCCCAUGGAGCACAUUCUGGUUCGUCUGGAAACUGAUUCUCGACCUGUGUCUCGGCGCCUGGUGAGCCUCAUCUUUAAUUCUUUCCUGCCUGUGAAUCAGCCGGAGGAGGUCUGGUGCGAGCGCUGUGUCACCCUGGUGCAGAUGAACCACGCUGCUGCCAGGAGGUUCUAUCAGUACGCCCACGAACACACCGCCUGCACCAACAUAGCAAAGCUGAUUCACGUUAUUCGUCAUUGCUUAAAUGCCUGUAUCCAGAGGGCAGUGAGAGAGCCUCCAGAGGAUGAGGAGGAAGAGGACGGAAGGGAGAAGGAGAAUGUGACUGAUGAUCGCUGCAAGAUCCCUUUAUUCAUGCUAAUGUCCUUUAUGCCGGCCUCUGCUGUCCCUCCAUUCAG